CACAGCUAUGACCAAACCAACACCCACCACAUCAAAACCCACUCCGGCUUUGGCUACGUCAAAACCUGGUACAACCACAGCCAGGCCAACACCCACCACACAAACCAAACCAACACCUGCUGCUACACCAAAAUCUACCACCACUACAGCCAAGCCAACACCUGCUGCUACAACACCAACACCUGCCACAACAGCAAAGACACAACCAAAAGCUGCCACUACCACAAAACCAGAACCAGGAAGACCUGAUCCUUCUGAGGCAGCCGGGGUAACUCUUUCCUUUGAGCCCAUGUUAGACCUGGAUUAUAAUCUUAACAGGCAGAGGUAGACACUGGAGAGCCUGUUAGCUCCUUCACUACAGAGAAUCCAGCCUUAUUAGAAAGCAGGGGCACAGCCGUCAGCCCCAGAUCAGUCCCAGAAACAAGGAAAGGUGUCAAAGAGGAUGGGAAAGAGAAAUCAGCCUUUUCCAGUCCACCUCCGUCCCUCAGCCAAGUUGUUCCAGGGAUCAAGUUAGGUUUCAAUAGAGCUGAGCUCAUAACCCCCUCAAAGUCAGUGGUCCUCAGCCCUGAAGAGCCCACCUUCUUGCGCUUAACAUCAUCCUCCAAAGAAAGAAAAGGGCAGAGCCCCCAUUUCCAGACCUCCCUGUCAGCAGGUGCCCUGGACACUGAAGAAAUGCAGACAGACACUGAAGAAAUGGAGACAAACUCGGAACAGACAAAUGUGGAUCAGCCCAUGUCUGGAGCCACCAGUACCUGCUCAGGGCUUUUGCUCUUCCUCCUCCCCAGUGCCAUCCUGGUGGGCCUUCUGCUUUGAAUGGUCUUUCUCAGCUCUCCCUGCUCCAGUCACCAAGGCUUUCUUCAGCACUGGUUGUUCCACAACCCUGCUGGGCUCAGGAGACCCCUCAGACAGUUCAGGCUGACACCUCCCUUCUUACGCUGCCUCAUCUGCUCCAGCCCCGGGCAGUGGCAGCCCCGUGGGAACUUGGUCCCCUUCCUGAGGAAACCCAAGGGCAGGAGGGUGUCUGCCAUAACACUGGUGACCUUGGACACUUCUCCUUUCUUCCUGGCCAGCCUGGGCUUCUGUUCCAUUUGCAAGGUGGGAGUGGUGAGCUGUCCCCCCAGCCGUGUGGCCGGCAGGCCCCGCCGCACCGUGUGCCCAGGGACAGCAGGACCCAAGCGGCAAAAAGAGACGUGGUGGUUGCCUUUGGUGUUUGUAGAUGAAACAUGGUGGUUGGCUUUGGUGUUUUCUGCUGUUCGUCAGGAUGAGCCUCCAGCAAAAAUGCUCUUUUCCCUUCCCCAUGUGUCUGUUUGUCUCAGAUUUGGGCAAGUUUCAUCUCUUUCCCCUCUUGUCCAAAGAGAGGAUUUUUUAUUUUCCCGUUUCCCUCCUGGUUCUGGUGUAGCUUUGGCCAGAUAUUCUCCCUGCUGCUCCUCACACCCUUGCAGCCCUUGCCUUCUCCCUCUCUCCUGUCUCUGCCCCAUGUCCCACUCCUCAGUUAUUGCCAUUAUCCAUUGCCACAGCUUUAUUUUACGCCUGUGCCUUCACCUUUGUGCACGCACAGAAGAGAAACCUUGAGCCCUGAGAGGAGCCACCAUCUCCUUCAUACAGCUUUCCCUAGCAUGGCUUCUUUCUUUACAUAAUUUCUGUGUAUUUGAAUUUAGGUACAGAUUCCCCUUGGCAUGUAAUCUGUGUGUGGUGGAACCUGGUCCAGGAGAAAAAAGUCACCACACGAGUCGGUACAAUCUGAGCUCAAGAGAGCCAAGUGAUGAUGUUACAGGUCAUUGGCGGCUCCAGGACUUGUUGCAGAAACACUGUCAUUAUCUGAGACACUGUGUUUUGUUACCCCACAUUUCCCUUCACCCGAGGAUUCCCAGUCAGGUGUGUUAAAUAUGUGACAAGCUUUCCAGACCGGUGGGAGGAAGAUAACUGGAAGAUACAGUCCCUUCUCUGGUGAUUGCAUCCUUUGAUUUCUUACACAGGUGAGGUGGAGGAUGACCUGCAUUGUUCAUAUCCUCCCACCUGCUGCUCUGUCCUGUGCACUGAAUAAAUCCUUUUGUUAAAGUCUG